rnacentral:rRNA from 1 species
CAACUCUCAACAACGGAUAUCUUGGCUCCCGUAACGAUGAAGAACGCAGCGAAAUGCGAUACGUAGUGUGAAUGCAGAAUUCCGUGAACCAUCGAAUCUUUGAACGCAAAUUGCGCUCGAGGCUUCGGCCAAGAGCAUGUCUGCCUCAGCGUCGGCUACUACCCUCAA